rnacentral:rRNA from 1 species
AACGAACGCUGGCGGCAUGCCUAACACAUGCAAGUCGAACGAGACCUUCGGGUCUAGUGGCGCACGGGUGCGUAACGCGUGGGAACCUGCCCUUAGGUUCGGAAUAACUCCCCGAAAGGGGUGCUAAUACCGGAUAAUGUCUUCGGACCAAAGAUUUAUCGCCUGUGGAUGGGCCCGCGUUGGAUUAGCUUGUUGGUGGGGUAAAAGCCUACGAAGGCUACGAUCCAUAGCUGGUCUGAGAGGAUGGUCAGACACAGUGGGACGGAGACACGGCACAGACUCAGAGGGGAGGGAGAAGUGCGGAAAAGUGAAAAAUGGGCGGAAGGGGGAUGUAGUAAAGCCGUGUGGGGGAUGACGGGAUGAGGGGUGGAAAGCGCGGCUGCCUGGGACGAGGAGGGAGUGACGGUAAGGGGUAAAGAAGCUCCGGCUAACUACGUG